ACAAAUAAGGCGACAAAAAAUUUCUAAUUUUGCGCUCAGAAUUUCAAUUCCAAAAAAAAGGGUUCAACCCUAAGUCGAUCUAUCUAUACUUCUUAUGCCCUAGUCUAUCUAUACUUUCACGAAGUAGCGCCAAGAAGUCACAGAGGCUUCCUGAUUUCACAAGCUACAGCCCACCGGUGUAUCGACCAGUGUAUCAAUGGUUCAUCCUCCUUCGGUGUAUCGACCGAUGCAUCAAUGGUUCCUGAUUUCAGAGAUGUUGAAUUUGAAAAGUGCAAAUGAAUAUAAAUACUUGAGGCAAAGCAAUUGCUAUUCAAUUUCUGGGGUUGAUGAUGCUAGACAGUUUCGCAUUGUAAUGGUAUUUUCUUCUUGUCCUUGUUCUUAUUAUUAUGAGCGCAGUUAUAACCAUCAAUGAACUGUUGAAUUUGAAUGAACAAUCCUAGUUAUUGCAGUUUGGACAUAGGAAUCCAUUCUAGCCCUCCUUGAGCCUGUUGCUCUUGAGUAUGACCCCAUGCACCUCAGUUCAAGGGUUCAAAUGCUAGUGAUGGAUUGCUAAAAUCAGACAUGGCAAUCCUUGUUGCAGUGAAGAGGUUUUGAAACCCCUUUAAAAAAAUUACAUUGUUGAUGGUACUUCAUGAAUGCCAUCAGCUGUUCUUAUAAUCAAAUCAAAAAUUUAGAAAACAAGCUCAUAGGAUUUUGGAAGAGGGAGAAGAACUAUUAAUAGAUUAGAUUGAUUGUUGAUAUUUGCCGAUAUCUACUUGUUUCUCUCACUUCAAUCCAUUGUCUUGAUGAUAGCAUGGAUGGAUUGAUAAAUUCUUCCCAUACUUUCCUUUGUCUUUAAGCAAUAAGUUUUAUACAUAGGUGGAUUAAUAAAUUCUUCCCAUUUUGAACCAACAUAAAUUUGGUGAAUUUUAUAUGAUAAAUCAAUAAAUGGUGGGUUAAAGAUUAGUUUUCUAGGAGAAUGACUUUAAGCCAAACCUUGAUUGUACUAUUGUGGGUUAAAGAUCUGGGCAUUGAUAUUGUUUGAAUUUUAUGCAUAUUUUCUAAAAAUGAUAAAUGAAAGCUCAAUUUUCCAUCUUUCCGGUAUCUAUGCUCCCUUGAAUCUUAGGAAUCUCUGGACAACGUGCUAGUUGAACUCUACAAGGUACGCACAUUUCUUCAAAUCUGACCUUCUCUAUCACCAUAGAUAUAGAUGUUGAUCUGAUGUGAAUUUUGUUGGUAACAAUUAGGAGAAUUUGGAAAUGCAACUUUUGUGUAUGGAUGACUGGUGUGAUUUUCAUAGCAUUUGGAAAGAAUGCCUUUUUGGUUUUCGUGGCAUUUGAAAUAUUGGAUUUAAUGGAUAGGAAAUUAAAUGAUUUGGCACUAUUUAUUCAAGGAACUAGUUCAAAUUUAGAUUUCAUAGUUUACAAAUGGAUUUCAAGCCUUUUUUUGAGAACUUUGUCGUGAUGAAUUUAAAAUAACGUUUUAGUAGCUUCUUGAAUCUUCAUGGUAAGGGGUUUUAGUUCUACAAUGAUCCUAAUAAAAGAACUUUUUUUUUCCCCUCUGUUUUCUCUGUCCCAUUUAGCCUAAUAGUUAUAGUUUGACAUCUUGAAUGCUCAGUUUAAUUACUUGGUGACCAAGACAAAUCUUUGAGUAUACAUCUUCAUUUUAUUGCAGAGAUCUGGUAGAAUUGAAGAACAGAUUGAAAUGCCUCAACAUUAAAGUGAAGACUAUUUUUAGAAGAACAAGUUAUUGGGGAACUUGGCCUGGGCAUACUUACAGCAAAAUAAUGUUUUGGAUUUCAAUGACUUUAAUCCUUCCACUUUUGAUAAUGUUCAUGAGUUCCUUGGACAAAAUGUCUAUUUGCAGCUCAUUAGUUUAGUUAAUGCGGACCCUGCUGUAACUACAUGUUUAAGCUUUUGCUCAUUGGAGAUUCGGGUGUUGGCAAAUCAUGUCUCCUUUUGAGACAAAUGUGGCCUCCAGACAGAUGCCAAGUUCAUUAACCAUUUUUAUUAUUUCUGUAAUCAGAAUGAUUCAUAUCUGGAAAGUUACAUUAGCACUAUUGGAGUUGACUUCGUAAGCAAUGUUUUUUAUUUCCCUUGGUUUGGGUUGCUGAUUACCUUAACAUAGAUUGUAAAGUUGUAAAUUAUUCUUAUGUUCUCUUCUGUAGAAAAUCCGCACAGUUAAGCACGAUGGGAAAACCAUUAAACUCCAGGUUUUAAGUUUUAAGUGCGUUAUUAGUUUGUUCUGUCUAUGAAAGCUGUAAAUUUCAGUUUUAGCUUUGAUUUAGUGUUUGAUUGGGAAUUUGUGUAAAUAAGGAAUGCCAUAUAAACAUUUCUUUGCCAUAGGAUGGAAAUUUUGCAAAAAAAUAUGCUUAAAUUUUGUAAAAAUUUGAAGGAUAGCUUUAUUCGAAAUGAAAUCCAGAGAAUUCACACUCUUGAGAUUAUAUGUUAAUUAUAUGACAAUUUUGUUUUUAGUCAAAAUUUAUUGUGAUGUUUUCUUCAACAUGGUGUCCUCUGUUUUUCUAUAAACUGUUUUCUUGCUAACAACUCUCAUCUUUCUUCUUUUGUCUGGACAAGCAGUGGGAUACUGCUGGACAAGAACAUUUUAGGACAAUCAGUAGCAGUUACUAUUGCGGUGCACAUGGCAUUAUUAUAAGCAUUGAAUUGUCUUCUUGUUGAGUUUGCUUUUUAAUGUAUGGAUUUAGUCUUAUUCUGGUGGUUUUGUUGUCAGGUUGUUUACGAUGUGACCGAUCAACAGAGUUUUAACAAUGUCAAGCAAUGGUUAAGUGAAAUUGACCGGUAUGCAAGUGAGAAUGUAAACAAGCUUCUAAUUGGAAACAAGUGUGACCUUACUGCACCGAAGGCAUUUGUAGAUGAAAUUGGGAUUCCUUUCUUAAUCAAACAAUGGACGUCAUUUCUCGAUUUGAACAUUUUUUAUGGAGGUCUUUAUAAAAUGGCGUCAUGAGUAAUACAUUUGAGUACUAUUGUCAUGUGACAAGUUUAUUUGUACCUUUUAGAUUAUAGUGUGGGCUAUUAGUUUGCUAGAAAUAUUGGAUCUAUUUUGUAUUACAAGCUUAUGUAAUGAACCCUUUAAGUAAGGUGCUUUGGAUAUUUUGGGAUUAUGAUAAUGCAGACUCUUUUACUUUUUACAA